CAGCAGCGCGGGAAUACAGAGGGUGCGAGCGUUAAUCGGAUUUACUGGGCGUAAAGCGUGCGUAGGCGGCUUUUUAAGUCGGAUGUGAAAUCCCUGAGCUUAACUUAGGAAUUGCAUUCGAUACUGGGAAGCUAGAGUAUGGGAGAGGAUGGUAGAAUUCCAGGUGUAGCGGUGAAAUGCGUAGAGAUCUGGAGGAAUACCGAUGGCGAAGGCAGCCAUCUGGCCUAAUACUGACGCUGAGGUACGAAAGCAUGGGGAGCAAACAGGAUUAGAUACCCCGGUAGUCCCUGUCUCUUAUACA
rnacentral:rRNA from 1 species